rnacentral:rRNA from 1 species
GACGAACGCUGGCGGCGUGCUUAACACAUGCAAGUCGAACGGAAAGGCCCCUUUGGGGGUACUCGGAUGUCAAACGGGGGAGUAACACGUAAGUAACCUUCCCUUACCUUCGGGAUAACUUCAGGAAACUGGGGCUAAUACCGGAUAGGAAUCCUUUCUGCAUGGGGGGGGUUGGAAAGCUUCGGCGGGUUUUGAUGGAAUCGCGGGUUAUCAGCUUGUUGGUGGGGUAGUGGGUUACCAAGGCGUUGAGGGGUAGCCAGCCUGAGAGGGCGACCGGCCACCUUGGGACUGAGGGACGGCCCAGAUACCUACGGGAGGGAGCAGGGGGGAAUAUUGCCGAAGGGGCGGAAGGCUGAUGCAGAAACGCCGCGUGCGGGAUGACGGCCUUAGGGUUGUAAACCGAUUUUAGAAGGGGCGAAGCACGUGGUGACGGUACCUGCAGAAGAAGCACCGGCUAACUACGUG